rnacentral:pre_miRNA from 12 species
AACCGCCUGUGGAAAUCGAUUUCCACAGGCGAUUAUCUUAACUGAACCAUCUGUGGAAAUCGAUUUCCACAAGCGGUU